AACGAACGCUGGCGGCAUGCCUAACACAUGCAAGUCGAACGAGACCUUCGGGUCUAGUGGCGCACGGGUGCGUAACGCGUGGGAACCUGCCCUUAGGUUCGGAAUAACUCCCCGAAAGGGGUGCUAAUACCGGAUAAUGUCUUCGGACCAAAGAUUUAUCGCCUUUGGAUGGGCCCGCGUUGGAUUAGCUAGUUGGUAGGGUAAAAGCCUACCAAGGCGACGAUCCAUAGCUGGUCUGAGAGGAUGAUCAGCCACACUGGGACUGAGACACGGCCCAGACUCCUACGGGAGGCAGCAGUGGGGAAUAUUGGACAGUGGGCGAAAGCCUGAUCCAGCAAUGCCGCGUGAGUGAUGAAGGCCUUAGGGUUGUAAAGCUCUUUUACACGGGAUGAUAAUGACAGUACCGGGAGAAUAAGCUCCGGCUAACUCCGUG
rnacentral:rRNA from 1 species